AAUUCGAAGCAACGCGAAGAACCUUACCAGGGCUUGACAUGCCGCUGACCGGUUUAGAGAUAGAUCUUUAUCCUUCGGGGUACAGCGGACACAGGUGGUGCAUGGUUGUCGUCAGCUCGUGUCGUGAGAUGUUGGGUUAAGUCCCGCAACGAGCGCAACCCUUGUCUUUAGUUGCCAUCAUUAAGUUGGGCACUCUAAAGAGACUGCCGAUGACAAAUCGGAGGAAGGUGGGGAUGACGUCAAAUCAUCAUGCCCUUUAUGUCCUGGGCUACACACGUGCUACAAUGGUUGGUACAACGAGUUGCGAGUCGGUGACGGCGAGCUAAUCUCUUAAAGCCAAUCUCAGUUCGGAUUGUAGGCUGCAACUCGCCUACAUGAAGUCGGAAUCGCUAGUAAUCGCGGAUCAGCACGCCGCGGUGAAUACGUCCCUGCUCCUU
rnacentral:rRNA from 2 species